ACCGGAAGUGCUUCGUCGAGUUUUCGAAACACUGCGGAACGUGUCUGUUGCAGCAGCAAAAGUUCCUAAAUGUGAGCGACUUCCUCCGGCUGGCUGGUUGAACAGAGAGCGAUGGCCGACCCAGAGCUCCUGCUGGACUCCAGCAUUCGGAUGUGGGUGGUGCUACCCAUCGUCUUCGUCACCUUCUUCGUGGGGAUCAUCCGUCACUACGUCACCCAGCUGCUGCACAGCGACAAGAAGGUCGACCUGGAGCAGGUCUCUGACAGUCAGGUUCUCCUACGCAGCCGCAUCCUCCGAGAGAACGGAAAGUACAUCCCCCGACAGGUGAGAGA